UACGGAGGGGGCUAGCGUUGUUCGGAAUUACUGGGCGUAAAGCGCACGUAGGCGGACCAGCAAGUUAGGGGUGAAAUCCCGGGGCUCAACCCCGGAACUGCCCUUAAGACUGUUGAUCUGGAGUUCGAGAGAGGUGAGUGGAAUUCCGAGUGUAGAGGUGAAAUUCGUAGAUAUUCGGAGGAACACCAGUGGCGAAGGCGGCUCACUGGCUCGAUACUGACGCUGAGGUGCGAAAGCGUGGGGAGCAAACAGG
rnacentral:rRNA from 2 species